GGGGACGCUGGGCUGAUGGAUGUGGCAGGUGGUCCUGCACUAACUGGUGGCAGCUUCCUGGCCCGACUGCUGGUGAAGUUUCCAGUCCAGUCAGGCCAGAGUGCCAGGACUUUACUGGGUACCUAUAGGGUCCCCAGACUCCCAAGGCAGCAUGUUAUGAAGCUGAAACCCAGGUCACCAGUGAGCAGGUGUCACCAAGGACCAGAUCGGGUGGGAGGCAAAUUCAGCCAGCAAGUCUGUCCCCUCACUGCCCUGAGAUCCAGUCCAGACAUCAGAGGGCUGGGGCGCUGGGGCUGCUGGCUGAGACCCUUCAACUGUCCCACAGGUGGAUUGUCUAGUAAAUGCCUACCCUGGGGUAACAGAGAUGGGCUGACCGAUGUCGUCUCCUGCCUUUGUGGAGUGUCCCCACCUUUCAGGUUCGUUUCUGAAGUAGCAUGAACCAGCUUUCAUUCCUUCGUAGAACAGGAUAACAUCUUAUCUUAUAUGGAUCUGCCACUCUUGGGUUCUCCCCUAAUCAGUUGAUAGACAUUUGAGUGGUUCCAGCUUCUUGCCUCUUGUUAAAUAAUGCUGCUACUGUCACCUGUGUCCAAGUCUGUCUCUGUGUGUAUGUGUGUGUGUGAACAUGUUUGCAGUUCUUUGCAUUAUAUACCUAGAAGUAGAAUUGCCAGAUCAUAUAGUUACUCUAUGUUUAACUUUUUGAGGAACUGUUGUACUAUUUUCCAAAGUGAUACAUUGGUUUUCUGAACUGUUUUUUUUUUUUUUUAAGAUUUUUUUUUUUAAGAUUUAUAUUUAUUUACUAGAGAGAGAGAGAAAGAGAGAGAAUGCAAGCUCAAACAGGAGUGGAGGGGAGGAGCAAAAGCAGAGGGAGAAGCAGACUCCCUGAGCAAGGAGCCUGACUUGGGGCUCAAUCCCAGGACCCUGAGAUCAUGACUUGAGCCAAAGGUUGACACCUAACCAACUGAGCCACCCAGGUGCCCCCGGAACUGUUUUAUUCAUGUUAGUUUCCCCCUCUCAACCUCAUGCAGCCUUCAUGAGGUCCACAUAAAAAAACUUGUACACUGUUCACAAUAGCCAGAAAUGGAAACAACCCAAAUGUCCAUCAACAGAUAAGUAAGUCAACAAAAUAUGGCCAAUCCUUAGAACAGUAUUUAGUCAUAGAAAAGAAUGAAGUACUGACACAUGGAUGCACCUUACAAACAAUAUAUUCAGGGUGCCUGGAUGGCUCAGUCCAUUAAGCGUCUGCCUUCAGCUCAGGUCAUGAUCCCAGGGUCCUGGGAUAGAGUCCCAUGUCCAGCUCCCUGCUUAGCGGGGAACCUGCUUCUUCCCCUCCCUUUGCCUCUUCCCACUGCUCAUUCUCCUCUCUCUCUCAAAUUAAUAAAAUCUUUAAAACAACAACAAUAUAAUGUUUAGUGAAAGGAGUCAGACACAAAAAGCCGUACAUUGUAUGAGUUCACUUACAUGAAAUUUUCAGAAUAGGCAAAACUAUAGAGACAGAAAGUAGGCUGGCAGUGGCCAGGAGCCAGGGGACCAAUGGGGAAUGACUGCUGGUAGAUGUGUUUCUUUUGGGGUUGAUGGAGAUAUUCCAGAAUGAUGAUAAUGAUGACGGUUACACAGCCUCAUGGACAUAUUAAAAUUUGUGUGGGUGUAUAUUUAAACUGGUGAGCUUUAGUGUAUGUGAAUGAUAUCUUUGCUUUUAGAAAGUGUAUACCCACAAGCUGAAAUCGAGGCUGCAAAAGGAAAGGACAGGAAGAAAGCCUCAAUCAGGGAAACCAACCUCACUUAGGGUCCAGGAAGCCCUUACAAAUGUAAGAAGGGCAAAGGGUAAGUAACACUUAAUAAGGUAAAGGGGGCCAGUGAAAGAGUUUCCAAGUAAAAGGAGUUAGUGCAAAGGCCCUGUGGUUAGAGGGAACAUUGUUCCAGAGAGGGAAGGAAAGAAGGAUAUGGUUCUAGGGGGUAGAGAACAGAGGGAGGUGGCACAGGCUGGGGCUGGGGCAGUGGGCUCAGCCCUCAGAAGAUCUUGCCUGCUUUCUGCUUCCCACCAAUUCCUCUAUUAGGACAACAUAUUUUUGGUUCAAUGAUUUCUACACUCGUGUUUUCUCAUAUUAUCCUAAUGCACUUCACAAUGCCUGUAUCAUUCACUUCCAUUCAUCUCAUUACGGGGAUGUUUUAUCAUCUCCCAUCACAAGACUGAGUACAGUAUAGGAGGAUAUUUUGAGAGACCACGUUCAUGUAACUUUUAUUACAGUUUAGUGUUAUAAUUGUUCUAUCUUACUAUUCGUUAUUGUUCAUCUCUUAGUGUGCCUAAUUCAUAAGUGAAACUUUAUCAUAUGUAUGUAUAAAUAGGAAAAAACAUAGUAUAUGCAGGGUAUGAUUUGUGGUUUCAGACAUCUCUGAGGGUCUUGGAACAUAUCCCCUGCAAUAAGAGGGGGGCCACCGUAUUACCAUCAUGCUUCAUCACCUUCUGUUUUGCCUCCUCCCCUUCUCAGGCCCGGCCCGCAGGUCUCCUGGUAGGAAUGCCUUAAAGAUUCUAGUAGUUACUAUUUAUGGAGCUUCUGUCAUAUACUAAAGCUUUACAUAUGUUAAAGACAGUCCUUUAUAUCUACCCAAGACGAGGUACUGUUACUAUUCCCAUUUCGCAGAGGAGAAAACUGAGCUCAGAGGAAUCGUCAUAUGCCUGAAACUGGGAAGGCUGGAGCAGAAUUCUAAAGAAUCUAAACUGUUGCUCCUUCAUAUCACCUGGGGCUACUUCUCUGACUCCUCUCUACCUGUCUUUUCUCAUACUGCCUAUGAACCCGUAUUUCCAAGAAGACUGUAUCCUGCCUCACCUGUGCUUUUAAAACACUGUUAGUUCAAGUCACCCUUCAGCUCAAAAUCCGCACUCAGAAUAAAAUCUCAAUCUCAAGGAGGCUUCAAGGUCCUCCAUUAUCCAUCCCUCCCCACCAGCUCCCUUCCCUGACCCCUUUACUUUCUGGUCUAUGCUCUCCCUUACCCUCAUCCUGCACCAACCACACAAGCCUCCUGGCUGGUCCUCAAUCAUGCUGCGCCUGCUCUCUGUCUCAGGGCCUUUGCACUUGCUGUUCCCUCCACCCAUGCUCUUCCACAUAACACAUUUCCUUCAGUUUUCUGCCGUCACCUUUUCAGAGGGCCGCCCAGACCACCCUAAAACAACAGCCCAUCUGGCAUUCCUUCCCUCUCAUCUGGUUUUAUAUUUUCCCUAGCAUUUGUCAUCCUUUGAUAUACUUUAAAUGCCAUUGUUUAUGAACAUACUGUCCUUCCUUUUCUGACUCGAAGCUUCAUGAAGGCAGACAUUGUCCCCAGAGCAGGGGAAACCCUGAAGGAUUUUAAGCUAGGGAGUAAGAGAACCACAUUCACAUUUUUUUUAAGUUCACUCAUUUAUAAUCUCUACAUCAAAUGUGGGGCUUAAACUCACAACCCCAAAAUCAAGAGUCACAUGCUUUACCAACUGAGCCUAUCGGGUUCCCCAACCACAUCCACAUUUUUAAAGGAUUUCCCUUGCGUGGAAAGUAGACUGGGAAAAAAAAAAAAAAAAAAAAAAAAAUAUAUAUAUAUAUAUAUAUAUAUAUAUAUAUAUAUAUAUAUAUAUAAAUAACUUACAAAAACAUUUAUAAUGCUAAAAAGAUUUAAAAACUCAUGACUUAGGGGCACCUGGGUGGCUCAGUGGGUUAAAGCCUCUGCCUUAGGCUGAAGUCCUGAUCCCAGGGUUCUGGGAUCGAGCCCCACAUCCAUCCAUCCAUCCAUCCAUCCAUCCGGCUCUCUGCUCAGCAGGGAGCCUGCUUCCCUUCCUCUCUCUCUGCCUGCCUCUCUGCCUACCUGUGAUCUCUGUCAAAUAAAUAAAUAAAACCUUAAAAAAAAAACCUACUCAUGACUUAGUGUAUCCCUUUCAUUCCACAGAUGAGAAAACUAAGGCUUACAGGUGGGGGACCCUCUGGAGACUUUCCAAUUUCUGGCUUUCCACAAGAGCCCUGGAUAAAGAAACCACCCAGGACACUGUCCUCCCUAGGAUGGCAUUGACAGAACAUUCAACCAAUGAUGCACGGGGCCCUUCUAUGCCCUGUCAAGACAUGUGUCCAUGAACCUGGCCUGUGGGAGGACCGGACGUUCCAGGAGGGGGCACUUCGUGGGGGAAAGGACAAGAGGCUGGAGCAAGCAUCCAAGGGGCUUGGAGGAACUGGGCCUGCUGGAGUAGGCCUCACCAUGCACCUGGACUUUCGGAGACUCAGAACCCGCUAGCCCCGGGCCUGGCCAAGCAGCACACACGGAGGGAUGCACAGGGCAGGUGUCCCUGCCACAGCAAAGCAGUCAAGGUCUAUGAGGUCUUGUAGACGGCUGCUUCCCCACCUACUCCCUCUACACUGUCUCUCCCCGCCCCUCAGCUCAAUGCUCUGCCCUCUCUCUACUCUCCUGAACUCGGGACCCACACCCUGAGACCCACCCAAGGCAUUUGGGAACCUCACUGAGGCCUGUGCUCCCUGGGCCUGCAAACCCGUUACUUUUCUGUGUUCUUUGGGAAAAUGGAGACCUUCCAAAGCAGCCCAUACAAAUAUAUGCAAAAGAGAUGCAAAUUAAAAUAGAGUGUCACCUCCCAUUUAAUACCAGGGUGGACACUGGAUGCAGCUGGCCUCCUCCCUGCACAGUUUGCUAUGUUUAUGUUUGUGAGUGUG